CGUUUUAGAAACAUCAGUGGCCAACGAUCGUCAGGAUUGUUGAGCUGCAUUGGCGGGAUUUCGCCGUCUUCGUUUCUCUUUCUUCGCGGACGAACACGCGCUGGGCCUGCAUGACGCAGGGUCCCUGGUCCUUGACGGGAUAUGCGUUAGGGGCUUGUAGCUCAGUUGGUUAGAGCGCGCGCUUGAUAAGCGUGAGGUCGGAAGUUCAAGUCUUCCCAGGCCCACCACACUCAUCGGGUAAGCAUUCGUCUUCUGGUUACGGGGCCAUAGCUCAGCUGGGAGAGCGCGUGCUUUGCAAGCAUGAGGUCGUCGGUUCGAUCCCGUCUGGCUCCACCAGAUGGUUUGAUCACCGAGGCUGUGUUUGCAGCUAUUCAACCGUCGUCCGCGAAACAUCACUUCGCACCUGCUAGUCUGGAUAGACAGCAAGUUGCGUGAUUUCUGACAUCGUAAAGAGGAGAUCGAUCCGAGUUGGAUCGGGCAGCAAGCAAUUGCUGCGCGAUACUUCAUUAUCUCCGGAUCAUUUCGGCGCUCGCGCGCCUUUCAAUGCAGCUCACAAGGCUGCGUCUGAAGGGAAUGCGAGUUGUAAAUGAUCCUUUUAGCGAAGCUUGACCGCCUCGCUAUCGGAACGAUCUUACGAAGCAAGCUGGUCUUUCUAAUCAUUGUCCGGCUGUGAGAAUAGCAUUCGUCGAGGGCGCGCGCUUUAGAGAUUUCGAUCUCUUGGCAGUUCUUGCAGACAACAUUCUGCCGAGUGUGUGGACAUUGAUAAUGAGAGCAAUCAAGUGCCUUAAGGGUGUUCGGUG
rnacentral:tRNA from 1 species